AGAGUUUGAUCCUGGCUCAGGACGAACGCUGGCGGCGUGCUUAACACAUGCAAGUCGAGCGGGGAUUGAUGAAGUGCUUGCACAGAUUCAAUUCUAGCGGCGGACGGGUGAGUAACGCGUGAGCAAUCUGUCCCAGACAGGGGGAUAACACUUGGAAACAGGUGCUAAUACCGCAUAAGACCACGGGAGGACAUCCUUCUGAGGUAAAAGAUUUAUCGGUCUGGGGUGAGCUCGCGUCCGAUUAGGUAGUUGGUGAGGUAACGGCCCACCAAGCCUGCGAUCGGUAGCCGACCUGAGAGGGUGAUCGGCCACAUUGGAACUGAGACACGGUCCAAACUCCUACGGGAGGCAGCAGUGGGGAAUAUUGGGCAAUGGGCGCAAGCCUGACCCAGCAACGCCGCGUGAGGGAAGAAGGUUUUCGGAUUGUAAACCUCUGUCCUCAAGGACGAAGGAAGUGACGGUACUUGAGGAGGAAGCCCCGGCUAACUACGUGCCAGCAGCCGCGGUAAUACGUAGGGGGCGAGCGUUGUCCGGAAUGACUGGGCGUAAAGGGCGUGUAGGCGGCCGAUUAAGUCUGGAGUGAAAGUCCUGCUUUCAAGGUGGGAAUUGCUUUGGAGACUGGUUGGCUUGAGUGCGGAAGAGGUAAGUGGAAUUCCCAGUGUAGCGGUGAAAUGCGUAGAGAUUGGGAGGAACACCAGUGGCGAAGGCGACUUACUGGGCCGUAACUGACGCUGAGGCGCGAAAGCGUGGGGAGCGAACAGGAUUAGAUACCCUGGUAGUCCACGCUGUAAACGAUGAAUGCUAGGUGUUGCGGGUAUCGAACCCUGGAGUGCCGGAGUAA
rnacentral:rRNA from 1 species